GAGGGUAUAGCUCAGUGGUAGAGUGCUUGCUUAGCAUGCACGAGGUCCUGGGUUCAAUCCCCAGCACCUCCA
rnacentral:tRNA from 1 species